AGGGUGACAGGUGGUGCAUGGUUGUCGUCAGCUCGUGUCGUGAGAUGUUGGGUUAAGUCCCGCAACGAGCGCAACCCUCGCCUCUAGUUGCCAGCAUUCGGUUGGGCACUCUAGAGGGACUGCCGGCGACAAGUCGGAGGAAGUGGGGAUGACGUCAAAUCAUCAUGCCCCUUAUGACCUGGGCUACACACGUGCUACAAUGGGCGGUACAAAGGGCUGCGAACCCGCGAGGGGGAGCGAAUCCCAAAAAGCCGCUCUCAGUUCGGAUUGCAGGCUGCAACUCGACUGCAUGAAGCCGGAGUUGCUAGUAACCGCAGGUCAGCAAUACUGCGGUGAAUACGUUCCCGGGUCUU
rnacentral:rRNA from 1 species